GUACUGAUGAAGAGUCCCAAACUAGGACGAAACAGCCGUCUAAUAC
rnacentral:hammerhead_ribozyme from 1 species